GCCUGUGGCCGCCCUGAUGUCUCCGGGCGCACAGGUUUUGGAGGUCCCGGCGCGCCCCUCGGGGCACCAGCCGGCGAGGUUCCAGAUGUGUGCAGCUGUGCAGCGCGCGGGCUUCCAGCAAGUCCUGGGGUCGGUGUUACCCGAGUUUUGCAGAUGAAGUGGGAUCCAUCCACGCCUGCCAAGGUUAUACCAGGGCUGAGUGGGGACCUGUGACUUGAAAUGAUCUCUAAUUCCAGAGGCUGGACUGUGAGGAUGUUGAUGGGAUUCGGAGAAUUUUUAAAAUAUACGAUGGUCGGAACGCUGGAGAGAAAAGGGCCUGGGUGCAGAGAAACCUGGGUGCUAGUCCUUCGUAAAACGAAAACGUCUAGCGAUACUACAACCCGUCUUGCCUGACCCUGGGAGAGUUGUGUUCUGAAGGCCCGAAGUCCAAAAUCGGUCUCACUGAGGUUAAAAUCAAGGUGUCAGCAGGAUUGUGUUCCUUCUCGAAGCGCUAAGGGAGAACCCGUUUCCUGCUCUUGUCUGUCUUCUGGAGGACUCCUGCUUUGUG